AAGGUUAUAGAAGUAUCUAAGAAAUUGGGUCUUCUAGGUUGGGCAAGAUUCUGUUGUGUUUUUGUUCUAUUUCUCACGAUCAACUGUUGAAAAAAUGAAAAAAUCGAGUCAAGUUUCUGAUCUGUAAAUAAGAUCAGCGCUUGAGAAAUAAUCUUCAAGAUUAUGGCGAUAAAAGAAAU
rnacentral:misc_RNA from 1 species